UUUCCAGACUCCUACGGGAGGCAGCAGUGGGGAAUAUUGGACAAUGGGGGGAACCCUGAUCCAGCGACGCCGCGUGAGUGAAGAAGUAUUUCGGUAUGUAAAGCUCUAUCAGCAGGGAAGAAAGAAAUGACGGUACCUGAAUAAGAAGCCCCGGCUAACUACGUGCCAGCAGCCGCGGUAAUACGUAGGGGGCAAGCGUUAUCCGGAUUUACUGGGUGUAAAGGGAGCGUAGACGGCCAGACAAGUCUGAAGUGAAAAUCCAGCGCUUAACGCUGGAAGUGCUUUGGAAACUGCCGGGCUGGAGUGCAGGAGGGGCAGGCGGAAUUCCUAGUGUAGCGGUGAAAUGCGUAGAUAUUAGGAGGAACACCAGUGGCGAAGGCGGCCUGCUGGACUGCAACUGACGUUGAGGCUCGAAGGCGUGGGGAGCAAACAGGAUUAGAUACCCUCGUAA
rnacentral:rRNA from 1 species